rnacentral:rRNA from 1 species
UACGUAGGGUGCAAGCGUUUAAUCGGAAUUACUGGGCGUAAAGCGUGCGCAGGCGGCUUACUAAGACAGGUGUGAAAGCCCCGAGCUUAACUUGGGAAUGGCGCUUGUGACUGGUAGGCUGGAGUGUGGCAGAGGGAGGUGGAAUUCCACGUGUAGCAGUGAAAUGCGUAGAGAUGUGGAGGAACACCGAUGGCGAAGGCAGCCUCCUGGGCCAGCACUGACGCUCAUGCAUGAAAGCGUGGGGAGCAAACAGG